CCUACGGGGGGCUGCAGUGGGGAAUAUUGCGCAAUGGGCGAAAGCCUGACGCAGCGACGCCGCGUGAGGGAUGAAGGUCUUCGGAUCGUAAACCUCUGUCAGCAGGGAAGAACGGUCACUGUGCUAAUCAGCAGUGAAUUGACGGUACCUGCAAAGGAAGCCCCGGCUAACUCCGUGCCAGCAGCCGCGGUAAUCCGGAGGGUGCGAGCGUUAAUCGGAAUUACUGGGAGUAAAGCGCUCGUAGGCGGUAGGUGAAGUCAAGGGUGAAAUCCGCGCGGUCAACGUGGGAAAGGCAUUUGAAACUGGCAAACUGGAGGGUGUGAGAGGAAAGUGGAAUUCCAGGUGGAGGAGUGAAAUCCGUAGA
rnacentral:rRNA from 1 species